rnacentral:rRNA from 1 species
AGAGGAAGCAUCGGCUAAGUACGUGCCAGCAGCCGCGGUAAUACCUAGGAUGCAAGCGUUGUUCGGAAUUACUGGGCGUAAAGAGUACGUAGGCGGUUUGAAAAGUCUGAUAUUAAAGACUGGGGCUCAACUUCAGGAGUGUAUCGGAAACUUUCAGACUAGAGGACAAUAGAGGAAGUCGGAAUUCUCAGUGUAGCGGUGAAAUGCGUAGAUAUUGGGAAGAACACCAGUGGCGAAAGCGGACUUCUGGGUUGUUACUGACGCUGAGGUACGAAAGCGUGGGGAGCAAACGGGAUUAGAUACCCCGGUAGUCCACGCUGUAAACGAUGGAUACUAGGUGUAGCCGGUCUCGACCCCGGCUGUGCCGUAGCAAACGCAAUAAGUAUCCCGCCUGGGGAGUAUGGCCGCAAGGUUGAAACUCAAAGGAAUUGACG